UGGGUGGGUGUGGUGGUCUCUGUUGUGGUCUUUGUCAGUGGUGUGAUUGUGGGUGUGCUGGUUUCUGUGAGUGGUGUGGCUGUGGUGGUUUCUAUCAGUGGUGUGAUUGUGGGUGUAGUGGUUUUUGUGGUGGUCUUUGUCAGUGGUGUGGGUGUGGUGGUCUCUGUUGUGGUCUUUGUCAGUGGUGUGGCUGUGGGUGUGGUGGUCUUUGUCAGUGGUGUGACUGUGGGUGUGGUGAUCUUUGUCAGUGGUGUGGAUGUUGUGGUUUCUGUCAGUGGUGUGUCUGUGGGUGUGGUGCUCUCUAUUGUAGUCUCUGUCAGUGGUGUGACUGUGGGUAUGGUGGUGGUUGUCAGUGGUGUUCCUGUGGGUGUGGUGGUUUCUGUGGUGGUCUUUGUCAGUGGUGUGCCUGUGGGUGUGGUGGUCUCUGUUGUGGUCUCUGUCAGUGAUGUCACUGUGGGUGUAGUGGUUUUUGUGGUGGUCUUUGUCAGUGAUGUGACUGUGGAUGUGGUGGUUUCUGUCAGUGGUGUGGCUGUGGGUGUGGUGGUCUUUGUCAGUGGUGUGGCUGUGGGUGUGGUGGUCUCUGUCUGUGGUGUGGGUGUGGUGGUUUCUGUCAGUGGUGUGGGUGUGGUAGUCUUUGUCAGUGGUGUGACUGUGGGUGUGGUGGUCUCUGUUGUGGUCUCUGUCAGUGGUGUGACUGUGGGUGUGGUGGUUUCUGUCAGUGGUGUGACUGUGGGUGUGGUGGUCUCUGUUAUAGUCUCUGUCAGUUGUGUGACUGUGGGUGUAGUGGUUUUUGUGGUGGUCUUUGUCAGUGAUGUGACAGUGGAUGUGGUGGUUUCUGUCAGUGGUGUGGCUGUGGUGGUCUCUGUCAGUGGUGUGGCGGUGGGUGUGGUGGUUUCUGUGGUGGUCUCUGUCAGUGGUGUGGUGGUUGGUGUGGUGGUCUCUGUAAGUGGUGUGGCUGUGGGUGUGGUGGUCUUUGUCAGUAGUGUGACUGUGGGUGUGGUGGUCAUUGUCAGCGGUGUGGCUGUGGGUGUGGUGGUCUCUGUUGUGGUUGUUGUCAGUGAUGUGACUGUGGAUGUGGUGGUCUCUGUCAGUGGUGUGGCUGUGGGUGUGGUGGUCUUUGUCAGUAGUGUGACUGUGGGUGUGGUGGUCAUUGUCAGCGGUGUGGCUGUGGGUGUGGUGGUCUCUGUUGUGGUUGUUGUCAGUGAUGUGACUGUGGAUGUGGUGGUCUCUGUCAGUAGUGUGACUGUGGGUGUGGUGGUCAUUGUCAGCAGUGUGGCUGUGGGUGUGGUGGUCUCUGUUGUGGUUGUUGUCAGUGAUGUGACUGUGGAUGUGGUGGUCUCUGUCAGUGAUGUGACUGUGGGUGUGGUGGUCUUUGUCAGUGGUGUGGCUGUGGGUGUCAUGGUCUUUGUCAGUGGUGUGGCUGUGGGUGUUGUGGUCUUUGUCAGUAGUGUGACUGUGGGUGUGGUGGUCAUUGUCAGCGGUGUGGCUGUGGGUGUGGUGGUCUCUGUUGUGGUUGUUGUCAGUGAUGUGACUGUGGAUGUGGUGGUCUCUGUCAGUAGUGUGACUGUGGGUGUGGUGGUCAUUGUCAGCAGUGUGGCUGUGGGUGUGGUGGUCUCUGUUGUGGUUGUUGUCAGUGAUGUGACUGUGGAUGUGGUGGUCUCUGUCAGUGAUGUGACUGCGGGUGUGGUGGUCUUUGUCAGUGGUGUGGCUGUGGGUGUCAUGGUCUUUGUCAGUGGUGUGGCUGUGGGUGUGGUGAUCUCUGUCAGUGGUGUGGUGGUGGUGGUUUCUGUGGUGGUAUCUCUCAGUGGUGUGGCUGUGGGUGUGGUGGUCUCUGUCAGUGGUGUGACUGUGGUGGUUUCUGUGGUCGUCUCUGUCAGUGGUGUGGCUGUGGAUGUGGUCUUUGUCAUUGGUGUGGCUGUGGAUGUGGUUUCUGUCAGUGGUGUGGCUGUGGGUGUGGUGGUUUCUGUGGUGGUCUCUGUCAGUGGUGUGGUUGUGGUGGUUUCUGUGGUGGUCUCUGUCAGUGGUGUGGCUGUGGGUGUGGUGGUCUUUGUCAUUGGUGUGGCUGUGGAUGUGGUUUCUGUCAGUGGUGUGUCUGUGGGUGUGGUGGUCUCUGUUGUGGUCUUUGUCAGUGGUAUGACUGUGGGUGUGGUGGUCUUUGUCAGUGGUGUGGCUGUGGGUGUGGUGGUCUCUGUCAGUGGUGUGGCUGUGGGUGUGGUGGUCUCUGUCAGUGGCGUGGCUGUGGGUUUGGAGGUCCCUGUGGUGGUGGUUGUCAGUGGUGUGGCUGUGGGUGUGGUGGUCCCUGUGGUGGUUGUCAGUGGUGUGACUGUAGGUGUGGUGGUGGUAGUCAGUGGUGUGGCUGUGGGUGUGAGCACUGUCUCUGUGACAGGGGUGUGUGUUGAUAGAGAAGGAGUGCCAGUUGUCUUUGUGGUGGAGAAGGUGGUGUGGGACUCGGUCAGGGUGAUAACCUGGUGAGAGGUUGGAGUCACUGAGGAGGUGGCCGAUGUUGACACGUGGACAGGAAGGGUCUCUGGAGGUGGUGGGGUUGGGUAGGGUGUGACUGUGGGUGUGGUGGUCUCUGUCAGUGGUGUGGUUGUGGUGGUUUCUGUGGUGGUCUCUCUCAGUGGCGUGGCUGUGGGUUUGGUGGUCCCUGUGGUGGUGGUUGUCAGUGGUGUGGCUGUGGGUGUGGUGGUCUUUGUCAGUUGUGUGGGUGUUGUGGUCUCUGUCAGUGGUGUGGCUGUGGAUGUGGUGGUCUCUGUCUGUGGUGUGGCUGUGGGUGUCGUGGUCUCUGUCAGUGGUGUGGCUGUGUGUGUCGUGGUCUCUGUCAGUGGUGUGGCUGUGGGUGUGGUUGUCUCUGUCAGUGGAGUGGCUGUGGGUGUGGUUGUCUCUGUCAGUGGCGUGGCUGUGGGUUUGGAGGUCCCUGUGGUGGUGGUUGUCUGUGGUGUGGCUGUGGGUGUGGUGGUCUUUGUCAGUGGUGUGGCUGUGGGUGUCGUGGUCCCUGUGGUGGUGGUUGUCAGUGGUGUGACUGUAGGUGUGGUGGUGGUUUUCAGUGGUGUGGCUCUGGGUGUGGUUGUCUCUGUCAGUGGCGUGGCUGUGGGUUUGGAGGUCCCUGUGGUGGUGGUUGUCUGUGGUGUGGCUGUGGGUGUGGUGGUCUUUGUCAGUGGUGUGGCUGUGGGUGUCGUGGUCCCUGUGGUGGUGGUUGUCAGUGGUGUGACUGUCCCUGUGGUGGUGGUUGUCUGUGGUGUGGCUGUGGGUGUGGUGGUCUUUGUCAGUGGUGUGGCUGUGGGUGUCGUGGUCCCUGUGGUGGUGGUUGUCAGUGGUGUGACUGUAGGUGUGGUGGUGGUUUUCAGUGGUGUGGCUCUGGGUGUGGUUGUCUCUGUCAGUGGCGUGGCUGUGGGUUUGGAGGUCCCUGUGGUGGUGGUUGUCUGUGGUGUGGCUGUGGGUGUGGUGGUCUCUGUCAGUGGUGUGGCUGUGGGUGUGGUGGUCUCUGUCAGUGGCGUGGCUGUGGGUGUGGUGGUCCCUGUGGUGGUUGUCAGUGGUGUGACUGUAGGUGUGGUGGUGGUAGUCAGUGGUGUGGCUGUGGGUGUGAGCACUGUCUCUGUGACAGGGGUGUGUGUUGAUAGAGAAGGGGUGCCAGUUGUCUUUGUGGUGGAGAAGGUGGUGUGGGACUCGGUCGGGGUGAUAACCUGGUGAGAGGUUGGAGUCACUGAGGAGGUGGCCGAUGUUGACACGUGGACAGGAAGGGUCUCUGGAGGUGGUGGGGUUGGGUAGGCUGUGACUGUGGGUGUGGUGGUCUCUGUCAGUGGUGUGGCUGUGGGUGUGGCUGUGGGUGUGGUGGUUGUGGGUGGAGUUGAUGUCUGGGGUGUGGUGGGGACAGGGAGUGGAAGGGUGGUGCUGGAGUGGGUGAUGGGCAUGGCCGUGGAGGGAGGAGCCGGUGUGUUGGGGCUGGCGCUGCCCUCGGCCCCAGUGGUGGGGGCCGUUGGUCUCAGGCCCGUGUGUGCUGUGCUGGGCCCUGUGGUGCCCUCUGGCGGUCGUGGGGGCUCCGUGCGCUGUGUCUCCUGGCUGAUGGGAGUUUCGGGGGUCCAUCGAUGUGUUGAGGAUGCUGUUGAAAGCAGGGCGUCAUUUCACUCCCUCCCCCUCGUACCCUGCUUUGGGGUCGCCCACGCCUUCCACAUCAGCCUCCACACCUGUGGCUCUAGUGUGCCUGCGGGGGUGUCCAGCAGCUUUCUGGAUGACUCUGGUUCCUCUCCCAGCCCCCUGUCCCGGCAUUGUCUGUGGGCCCUUGUUGCAUCCUGAAUGUCUGCAGUGGGUUUUGGGGUCCCUCCCUAGCAGCCCUACUCUCAGGGUGGGCUCCUCUGCCCCGGCCUCAGGCAGGUGCUUCCUCUUCCCUCCUGCUCUCAGGGGAAUGGGAAGUUGGUGGCCCUGCCCCCGAGCUGGGGCCUGUGCGUGGCUCAGGGGCCUUUUGGAGCCCUUGCACCCUGAGGCCUGUGGAUCCCUCAGUGAGGGUGGCCAUGGGGGAAGGCUGCUUGGGUCUGGUGGUCU
ensembl:lncRNA